rnacentral:lncRNA from 1 species
UUUGCUGCAUGUGCUUGGUGCCUGGGGAAUGCAUGUCACUGCACAGGCAUGCAACAACACCCAGAAACGUUGCCCCAAUCUUGCAGGCGCUGUUAUUGCCUUUUGCUGCAUGUGCUUGGUGCCUGGGGAAUGCAUUUCAUUGCACAGGCAUGCAACAACACCCAGAAACGUUGCGCCAAUCUUGCAGGCGCUGUUAUUGCCCUUUGCUGCAUGUGCUUGGUGCCUGGGGAAUGCAUGUCACUGCACAGGCAUGCA